UUGGGCAAGUCACACCCCGCAGCUAGCUCAAGAACACAAGAACACUCAAAUACAUCCAUCAAAGCAGGACUAGGGUAUUACGCAUCCUCACGGCGGCGGACAUGAGAGGACCACCGGAACGAGCACCGCCGGCUCGUCGUCGUACACAUCGCGCUGGAGAAAGAGGAGAGGGAGGUGCGGCGGUGGACGGGAGAGGGUCACCGCGAGGAGCUCCGCUGGCUCGUGGUCGUUCACACGGCGCUGGGGCAGAGAUACUUCUGUACAGCCCUCACGCCCGCAGGAUGCGGAGGAAAUACUCGAAGGCAUAAAGACCACACAGACACUUCCUUUCUAAAGGACCCAAAAUCAAUGGUUAUUGAACAAAUUAAUUACGACUCCACUGAGAUUGAAGGUGAUCACACCUUGAUUGCUGGUGAUGAUAUGAUUCAGUCAAGAUGUGAUGAUGGUAGCUUUAUGGGCGAGAGUAUGUAUGAUGAUGGUAGCUUGGUACAAAGAAGGAGCUGUUGAGCCAACUUUCCUGUAUUUCGCACAUGAGCUGAAAGAGGUCAAGUGCUAAUCGCACUGUAUGCAAAAAUAUAUGCAACUAUCAAUAUUUUUCCUAUGGUCUAUGGUUAUAAUGUUGGUGUUGUAAGAUGUUGAGCGUCUUUGAAA